UCUCAGUGAUGAUUAUAACGAUGACGAGUCUGAUGCUAUUUCCAUUCUUAACAAAUAUGUGGACAUAUUGAGGCAUUUGUCUGAGAGGA